AAGCCGGCGCGAGGCCUCGGCCUGUGCGACCCAGGGCACGGCGCUCCGCCCGCUGCAGGCGUCCGGCCCAGGGUAUUCGGGCGCCAGUCGUCGCUGCGCAGUGGAGGUUCGUGCCCCUGGGGCCCACCUGCUCAACCCGUGGCCCCCAUCGCACUGUGGGCGAGACGCCAGGGUCCCUCCCCUUCUGGGGCCCUUCCUCCAGGAGCCAAGUCCAGGAGGACGGCGAAGCGUGUGCGUGUGCACAGGGGCACACCCCGUAGCUGAGUGAGGCCCACAGCCCCGGAGGCCUCACGUCCCCCAAGCCAGAGCUUGCCUUGAACGCAGACCACAGUGGAGCCUCAAGAAACGCGAAAAUCCGGGUACGCAGCCCUCUACUACCUCCUCCUUGGGUCACUUCCCUGUUUCGGCCAACAACUUGGGCCACGCGGGACGCAGAAGAGGGGAGAGGGGGUCACGCACCGCCUUCCGUCCUGGGCGGGGGGUGCGGGCGCUGCCGAGGCAGCACAGGUCGGGAGGGAAGCAGCAGCUGGCUUUCUGCAGCGCUCCGCUGUGGCCGUCGAAGGAGCCGGGACGGGGGCCCGGGGGCUGUCACUCUGGUGACUGCCACCCUGGACUCAACUGACCUUAUGUUUGCAUUUACAACAGACGUUCUCGGUAUAAAGAUGAACGGGAAACCUCAUGCUAGUAACGUAAAUGCUUGAUAUUCCUGCAGUUAGAAUGGCAUGAAAGAGCAGAGACAAAACGGCCUGACCAGACGC